rfam:Lasius niger Lnig_2.1_780, whole genome shotgun sequence.
AUACCGGCCCUUUUCAGGGCCACCAAUUAAUUAUUCGAAGGAUUG